rnacentral:lncRNA from 1 species
AGUAAAUAGGAUCGAAAGGAUGUAAAGGUUAAUGAGAUAUCUUAACUGUUCAUAAUCAGCAAUAUAUGUUUAGUUCUGUUUUGUGUAUUUUUUUUUUCAAAUAUUAAAAUUUCGACCAGUACAAGCAGCCAUGCAUGCAAGUGCCUAUGUCAUGCAUGACGGCUGCUUUUGUUUAGAUGGAAGUUGCACAGCGCAUCCUUCCUUGACAACCGGACGUUAGCAGAACCAAUCCACAAUUACAACCAUUGACAACGUCAAUAGUUAUUGCUGAGCGCGAAGGAAAAAAUGUGUUCCAAAGUAACCUGUGAAAAAUGCAACAAGCCAACCUGGUCAGGUAAGUAAUGUAAUAAACUACCAAUACUGAUUGAAUACUUUACACUUGGGUUCUGUUCUAGAGGAAUUUGAAGCAAUGUUAUAUGCAAUCUUCGUUAGUUUUUUUUAACGACGUCUCUGAGACAGAAAUCCAACGACAAAAAAAUAACAACUGAUGAGGUUCGUUACUUCUGAUGAAUACAUUUAGUAUAUCGGAGUAAUUUUAUUUUCUAGAUAUUAUUUAGAAUUUGUUAUAUGACUCUUAUUUUCCAAAUACAUUGGCCUGUAUUGAGUAUGCAUUUUAUUCCGAUUUUCUACAUUUUGCAAAAAUCCAUGUUUUUAAAAGACAAACGUAUUUUAAAAUCAACACCCAAACUGUAUAGUCAGCUAUAAGAGGUCCAAAAUGUCAAAUGUACGACAAUUAAGACAAGAAAAGUAACGGCCUAGUUUGUGUACGCAUCAAUAAACGCAAAACAAAUAUGAUUUACAUCGGCAAACGAAAAUCAUUAAAUUACAGGCUGAUUUGGGAUAGAUACAGGGUUAAACCAUUUUGCGGGUACGCGAAAACUCAGCAUAAUCUAGGAUACAAUAUAAGAACAAAGUUGAACUAUAAAAAAUCAGUUAAUAUGCCUUACUCAUUAUAUUAUAUGUAUUUUUCUGUAGAAACCGUACUAUUUUUAUUUUUCUGAAUAUCAAUCAACAUUCAUCAUGGUUACAAUGUAUUACUGCAUGUGAUACCCAAGUUUUAUGACAUUUUUCCCUGGUUUAUUUUUUGUUUUUGUUUUUAAUCAAAUGGGAUAUUUUUUCAGGUUGUGGAAAACAUAUUGAACAGGCUUUGAAGGAUGUUCCACCAGAAGAAAGAUGUAAAUGCCCAAGAGAGUCAAAAUAAUGGUGAGGGUUGUGUUUUAUUUUCUACAACCACACGUCUUAUUUCGGAAUAUUUCAAUAUGUUAUUCAGUUUAUUGAAAAAGCACCAUGCUAAUGUUACACGGAAUAAAGAAAAUGUAAUUGUUGUGUAUAAAUACGUGCAUGGAAAAAAUGAACUCGUUUAUAAGAUAACUACGUCUGAGUAAAAUUGUGCUUGAUGCUCGGCAAUUGAGUACUGCGAAAAUACGCGCUUAAAGGUCUACAAAUGUAAAAAGAAUUUCGAAUUCGAAUUAAGGGUUUAUACUCCAGGAAAAGAAUAAAAUAACAAUUAGAAAUUGGGUUUGAUAUUGAUAAAAACGCAAUUUAUCGUAAACGUCUUUGAGACAGAAAUCCAACGACAAAACAAUAACAACUGAAGAGAUUCGUAACUUCUGAUGAAUACUAUAGGAUCUUUUAAUUCUAUAGUAUUCAUUAAAAUAGGAGAUAGGGAAUAUAUUUCUCCACACUCGUUACCUCUAUCACACGUAAAUUGUAUAUUUAUGUCAUUGAAUGGGCCUUGCGCAUGCAUAUAUUUGUUAGUUAACACAGAAAUAUGUUCUCAAUGAAAUUUGAUAUCUGAUAAAAAAAAAUAAACUUCAAAAACUCCUAUCAUCAUUCAAACGAAUGUUUUUGUUUUUAUUAUUUAUUUUAACGAUUAACGUGCAAUGAAAACAAAUUUUGUUAACGUCGUUGUUAUCAUCGCCGCCAUCUUCUUAACAUUGGUUACGAAAGGAAGUUGUGUCAACGUCGUCUAUCGAAAAAUAACCAACUUCAUGAUCAACGACCGGAAGUCCUCUCGACCAAUCAUAUCAACGUAUUCCCUAAUAUGCAAAUCAUAUAAGAAUUAUAUCUUAGUAUAUUUGAGUAAUUUUAUUUUCUAGAUAUUAUCCGUCCCAUCUUUAUAAUUCUUUUAAACAAUUUCCAUAUGAAUAGAUAUUUGAAUGUGAUUAGUACAUUAGAAUUGUUUUCCUUGGUUUAUUCUUUGUUUGAUCAUAUUCGUGAAACUAAUUUGGCAACCUAUGUAAAAAAAAUAUGUCGAAUUAUUUGUGAUACAUUUUGUAUUUAUUCAUUCGCGAGACAUGUGGAUAAGAAUAAUUGGGUAGAGAAUUUUAAGGAUUAGACACAUUUUUUAGAAUUUAUUGACAUAUAAAUUAGGCCGCUGAAUCAGGAACUUGUCACCAUGCCUAUUUAGUUAGUUGGUUAAUCGGACAACACAUGAGUCAACAAGCGAGACAUAGGUAUGGUCUUUUCGGCGUCGGCGGCGACGUCGGCGUCAACAAUGUAUUAGUUUGUGACCAGGUCUAGUUUAUGGUGAAUCACUAGUAGUAAGUCAAAGAUAUAUGGUAUGCAGUUGUAUAAGUAUUGGCACAUCUCAUUACCAUGGAGAUUAUUUGACCUCGCUCCCUCAGUUUUGGUCUAUUGACUUUGAAACUUUUGCUUAGUUUUCAUGUAGUAGUUUGUGAAAAGGUCAGUGUAUGGGAAACCACUAUUGAUAAAGUAAGGAUAACCGGUCUGCAGUUGUAUAAGCAUCAUCAUAUCUUAUUUCCAUGGAGAUUAUUUGACCCCGCCCCCUCAUUCAGGGUCUAUUGACUUUGAAAUUUUUGCUUAGUUUUAAUGUAUUAGUUUGUGCUUAGGUCAUUUUACAGGGAACCCCUAGUCGAAGGUUAAUGAUAAUUGGUAUGCAGUUGUAUAAGCAUUGGCAUACCUCAUUUCCAUGGAGAUUAUUUGGCCCCGCCCCUUCAGUCAUGGACUUUGAAACGUUUGCUUAGUUUUCAUGUAGGUCAGUUUAUGGGGAGCCCAUAGUGGUAGGUCAAUGAUACUUUGUAGGCAGUUGAAUUAAUAUUGGCACAUCUCAUUACCAUUUGAAUAUUUGCUAAACUAAUUAUAUGUUAAAGUGUUGCUAUUUUUUAUUUCAACAUUUGCAUUAUCGACAUUACAAAAAAGCGAGACAUAUCUCUGUUUAUAACAGUUUAUUUUAUAUAAAUAAGGCCGUUAGUUUUCUCGUUUGAAUUGUUUUACAGUGCCAUAUCGGUGCCUUUUAUAACUGACUGUGCGGUAUGGGCUUUGCUCAUUGUUGAAGGCCGUACGGUGACCUAUAGUUGUUUUAAUGUCUGUGUCAUUUUGGUCGUUUGUGGACAGUUGUCUCAUUGGAAAUCAUACCACAUCUUCUUUUUUUAUAUAUUCGACCGCUAUAUGCAAUCCCGAGGUCCAACUGAAAGUUAAAUUCAAUAGACUAAUAAAAGAAUUAAGAUUUUUAAUAUUACGAAUUGUGAAAGGAAAAACACGCAUGGCGAACAUCAGUCAACUUAAAUUAACAAAAAAAUACAAAUACACAUAUUAUACAUAAGUAAAACAAUAUUUUUAUAAUUCUGAUUCUGUAUAAAGAACGCUUAUGAUUACUAAACAUAAAUUUAUAUUUUCAGUAGAAAAAAAUAUCAGUCGAACGCAUUUUUUCUUAUAAUUUCAGGAAACUUUUGGCGGAAUAACGUUGGUUGCUAGGGAACUGGAAGCAAGAGAUCAUAGUUAUUUUGUAUGUAAACCUAUGUUUUUAUUGUUAUAUUCAAUAAUAAACAUAAUACGUUGUUAUUAAUAU